rnacentral:rRNA from 1 species
UCUUAGCAACCGGAUUUGGUCCUAGUCCUCUUCUUGAUUUUACCUAAACCGAUACAUGCAAGUUAAUUAACAACACAGUGAGUAAAAAUUGAAACCACCUGAAAAGAAGUGGUCUAAUCUCUUAAAUAUCAGAAAUAUACCCCUAAUUCUAAAACAUUUAGCCACCCACACCUGCAGUACCUAACAUUGUACAAUAAGCAAAAGCUUGAUACAGCUAUAGGAAACAAAGAGUUGGUUAAUUAUGUGCCAGCCACCGCGGUUAUACAUAAAACUCAAAUCAAGAAAACCCCUCAUCGGUAUAAAAGUGAUUAGGAUUAAAAUUAACUUAAGGUGGAAAAUAACUCCAGUAUUAAUAAGCUUCUACAGUAAACUAACAACUAUUUCAACUUUCGCCUUAAAACAUCUUUUAGUGUCCGAACCACCAAAGCUCGAAAAUAAACUGGGAUUAGAUACCCCACUAUACGAGCCGUAAAAACCAAAAAUGCCCAGAGAA